rnacentral:rRNA from 1 species
AGCUUGCUACUUUACCUAGCGGCGGACGGGUGAGUAAUGCUUAGGAAUCUGCCUAUUAGUGGGGGACAACAUUCCGAAAGGGAUGCUAAUACCGCAUACGUCCUACGGGAGAAAGCAGGGGACCUUCGGGCCUUGCGCUAAUAGAUGAGCCUAAGUCGGAUUAGCUAGUUGGUGGGGUAAAGGCCUACCAAGGCGACGAUCUGUAGCGGGUCUGAGAGGAUGAUCCGCCACACUGGGACUGAGACACGGCCCAGACUCCUACGGGAGGCAGCAGUGGGGAAUAUUGGACAAUGGGGGGAACCCUGAUCCAGCCAUGCCGCGUGUGUGAAGAAGGCCUUAUGGUUGUAAAGCACUUUAAGCGAGGAGGAGGCUACCUAGAUUAAUACUCUAGGAUAGUGGACGUUACUCGCAGAAUAAGCACCGGCUAACUCUGUGCCAGCAGCCGCGGUAAUACAGAGGGUGCGAGCGUUAAUCGGAUUUACUGGGCGUAAAGCGUGCGUAGGUGGCUAAUUAAGUCAAAUGUGAAAUCCCCGAGCUUAACUUGGGAAUUGCAUUCGAUACUGGUUAGCUAGAGUAUGGGAGAGGAUGGUAGAAUUCCAGGUGUAGCGGUGAAAUGCGUAGAGAUCUGGAGGAAUACCGAUGGCGAAGGCAGCCAUCUGGCCUAAUACUGACACUGAGGUACGAAAGCAUGGGGAGCAAACAGGAUUAGAUACCCUGGUAGUCCAUGCCGUAAACGAUGUCUACUAGCCGUUGGGGUCUUUGAGACUUUAGUGGCGCAGCUAACGCGAUAAGUAGACCGCCUGGGGAGUACGGUCGCAAGACUAAAACUCAAAUGAAUUGACGGGGGCCCGCACAAGCGGUGGAGCAUGUGGUUUAAUUCGAUGCAACGCGAAGAACCUUACCUGGUCUUGACAUAGUAAGAACUUUCCAGAGAUGGAUUGGUGCCUUCGGGAAUCUACAUACAGGUGCUGCAUGGCUGUCGUCAGCUC